GAAGGUGGCAAGCGUUGUUCGGAUUUACUGGGCGUACAGGGAGCGUAGGCGGUUGGAUAAGCCCUCCGUGAAAUCUCCAGGCUUAACCUGGAAAGUGCAGAGGGGACUGUUCAGCUAGAGGAUGGGAGAGGAGCGCGGAAUUCCCGGUGUAGCGGUGAAAUGCGCAGAGAUCGGGAGGAAGGCCGGUGGCGAAGGCGGCGCUCUGGAACAUUUCUGACGCUGAGGCUCGAAAGCGUGGGGAGCAAACAGGAUUAGAUACCCUGGUAGUCCACGCCUUAAACGAUGGAUACUAAGUGUCGGCGGGUUACCGCCGGUGCCGCAGCUAACGCAGUAAGUAUCCCGCCUGGGAAGUACGGCCGCAAGGUUG
rnacentral:rRNA from 1 species